rnacentral:lncRNA from 1 species
AAAAAUAAUGGAGAGCAAAAAACAGAAACGUGAAGAUCUACUGAAGUUUAUUAUGCAGAUAAAAACUUCACUGUCUACUCAAGAUCUACAGCAAAAAUGAAGAACCAAUAUCAAGAUAAGAACUCAUUUUCAUACAUUAUUCACAAAGAUAGAAAUAUAAUAAAUACCAGUAGAAUUUUCUGCAUUUGAUCUGACGCCAGUAAUCUUCAACGAUUUUGUUAGCUUUCUCAUUUAGAAUCACCUGUAAAAUAUGUGAAAAAAUUAGUAAAAAUUAAUAAAAAAAAAUUCCUCAAUAAAAAAACUCGUAUAAAAAAAAGGUGAAGAAUAAUAUAAUCACUUUCACAACAAAAAUGGUUAAAAGUAAAGAAACUUCAACUUUACUGUUCUUGAGUAAUAUAAGCUUCUGAGAUUUGCUAAUAUGAGCACUGUAAGUGAAUCUGCAGAUGAGAAAAAAUGAGCCUUUAUUACAAAACUUAUUUAUAUAAAAGUUAAUUAGCUAAUAUCCAGUGGUUAUUAACCUGCAAGUAUUCAAAUGUCAAGACAGUACAGAUAAUACCUCCUCACAGUUCCUAGGAAAUAACAACACAUGCUAACUUUUUUCCUAAGCGAGGCGCAUGGAGUGUGGGCUUAAUUAAUAAAAUAUUAUUAAUUAAGUGUGAGGCAAAUUAGUGUGGUGUGCAGGAGGUAUACAGCUGUAUAUCAUUUAUUCUAAAAUAUUAGGAUAUUCCACUAUUCUAAUAAAAUAUUAUUAAUUAAGAGUGAGGCAAAUUAGUGUGGUGUGCAGGAGGUAUACAGCUCAUUUAUUCUAAAAUAUUAGGAUAUUCUAGUACUAUAUGAACUAAUCUAUUAAAUAUUAAUUUAUAUACAAAUUAGUGAAUUACCCAUUAUCUAAAUUCUAGAAGUCAGUUCGUCACUUACCUUAGGUAAAUAUAUUAGAAUUUUUUAGGCUUUACUGCGCCUCGCCUACGAAAAGCCCGCGCCUGCGCUUAAAGCCCUGCGCCUAGGCUCCGAGGCAUGUUUGCGCCUCAUGCGCCUCGGGCUUUUUAAAACCCAGAUCAGACUUAUACUCACAUAUAUAUAUACAUAAUAGAAUUUUAUAAAUUUUAAUAUUAUAUUCAUAAAACUAAAUUUAUAUAUCUUAUGUGACAUUUUGGGAAUUUUGGGUUCCUUUUUAUAUUUUUCAAUAUUGAGUUCAUUGAAUUCUCACUUUCAUAAUACAGAAAUUUUAACUUUAUGUAAAGUUUCAUUAGUAUUGAGUUCAUUGAAUCCUCACUUUCAUAUUUCUCAAUUUUGAGUUCAUUAGUAUCUUAAACCAUAGAUAUCUUUAAAUUUAUGAAAAGUUUACUGUGUUGAAAGUACAGCCCAUAUACUUAUGAUCUACCCAUAAAUAUCUCUAUCUCCUAUUUUACUGAUUUAUAUGCUUAAAAAUACAGGUCAUAUACUGAUGUUGUGGCUCCAAGAUCAAAACACCAUACAAAAUCCUUAUGAAAUAUUGUGGCUACUAUGCAUAAGGUAACAUCACCUUACUUGUAA